rnacentral:lncRNA from 1 species
GUUCAAAUCUCUGCUCCGAGACAUAGACAUCCCGAGCAACCUGCUUGACGUGGAGAAGGAGAUGCUUAAGAUUGGUCUGAAGCCACUGAUGAACACUUCGCAGAGGAGAGAUGCUGCACAGAUUCAAUGUGAGCAGAAUAACCAACAGCAAAGAGCUGAUAAUGUUUGCUGGUGCAGUCACUUCAAAAGUUCAAGUACUUAGAGAUUAGAGGUGGGACCAUG